AUGAAGCACCGGUUCCCAUACGAUCACCGAAGUUAAGCAACUCCGAACGUGGCCAGCACCUAGAUGGGUGACCGUUUGGGAAUAUCAAGUGUU